rnacentral:tRNA from 1 species
CAGGUUGUAGUUUAAGUUUAGAAUUGGGGUUUUGGGGACCUCAGGUUCGUAAGGUAAUCUGG